rnacentral:misc_RNA from 1 species
UAAUAAGUGUUUUAUGGCACUUUUUUAAAUCCAUUAUCCACUUGGUGUGCAAUGUCGGUAGCUCUUCUUCUUUUUGAGGAUCGACCAAACAUCAACCUUUAUUUUUAACUCUUUGUCUGAAAAAUAUUAUGAACAACACAAUUCAAAAUA